UUCAUGUUGUGAUACGUGUACUACAGUAGUUACUUAUAUUAGGCCAUGCAGUAAAAUGAAGACGAAUACUAUGUUAUCUGUACUACGCUGAAGAUUCUUAUUUUAAAACAUUGUGUUGUGAUGCCUUUCUGCACAGAGAACUUGGGGUUGUCAAGAGGCCAUGGAAACAGACACGUCCGGCAGGCAGAGUUAGAGUUUUCUUAUGUCUAUGACGGUGGAGUUGAUGCAACGAACCCCAGCACGGGAGCGAUAGUACACAACCCCAACAGUAAUUACCGACCACAAGUGGAGUUUGGUCCCAGACCUAGACCACGGCCCACCUGGUACUACAACCAGUACAACCAACACUACAACCAGUCUUAUUGGUACUAUAGAGGAUAGCCGCUGGUACUACCCCUGCAGCUACCACCACCAUCCUUACUAAUGCUGAGUUGUACCCCACCUCCGACCCGGGUGGGACAGAUCCUGUCUAAACACACAGAAGCUCGUCCUGUGUAUAGUCAACCUUCACUCUCUGAGGGCCAACUUAAACUGAACAUUCAUAACAAUAAUCUACCUUUGUCUUCUUAGGUUAACUUUAAUUAAAAAUCUGAUUGUGGAGAUUAAUUUCACCUUUAAGGAAUAGCUUAAGCUAAACAAACUAUAUGGAGUAUAAUAGCUUUAUUAUGUGGAGCUCUAUAGCUUUACUAUGUUGAGUUGAAUCCUUCCAUUUACUUUUAACAAUCACUGCUGAAUGUUCUUUAAGGUGAGUCUGCCAGGUUCCUUGAAAGUAGCAUAAAUAAAUGUUUAUGGGUUAAAUUAUGACAUCACCGUAAUUAACGCUCUGAGCUGUGAGCGUUAAUAAAAAUAUGAAGCUGAUAUGUAUCUGAGGUUCAGGAGCCUCACGUGUAUCAUGAGCGAGAGAGAGUGUAGGACUGAGGGUAGAGUCAGGCCAGGGGUCUGGUCCUUACUGUUGACAUAGCCAGGUCACAGGGCUAUAGGUCAGAUGCCAAGAGGUCAUCUGUUAGACAAGAAGAUUCAUUACCAUACAUCACUAACUUCAGUAUUAAAGAGAAAAUGGUAGACACUGGCUCAUAGUUUACUCACCGUGGGUGUAGUAAUUAUAUAGUGCACAUUUAUAUAAGUAUUACUGUCUGUUAGACAGGGGAUAAUGUAUAACCUAACUGUCUCAGAACUAACUACCGUCUAUAGUCGUUCAGAUUAAUAAUAAUUGUUAAGUCUCUCUACGCCUCAAGACCUUAAUACAAUUCUAUGAGGUGAUAAUGAAAAGUUUGUCUUAAGUCUUUUGAUAAAGUUUAGUGUUUGUUA
rnacentral:lncRNA from 1 species